CCUGGCAGGCUCGCCUUCGGUCCCUCUUCAGUCAUCUCGUUCAGCAUUCUCUCGGUCCUCGUGAGGACUUUCUUGUCUCAGAGUUUUCUCUCCCUGUCCUGUCCCCUCGUGUCACGGGUGUCUGGGGGUAUUUGGUCUGGAGCUGCUCUGCCCUGCCGCCCAGCCCGGUUGUAGGUGUUUAAGGAUAAGUCCCGGGCACUUGUAAUUGGAGAUUUGUAAUACGGGCUGUAGUUGGAGUCUAGCUGGUAUUCUUAUGUUGGCAGCAGGUGUCUGGAGCUGUGAAGUUACCCUGCAGCACUUUGACUUUUUUCCUAACUUUCUUUCAGAUGCAGACGGAUGGACCUCGUGGCAGAGCGCCGCAUCCCAGAUGAGGGGAUCCCCCUGAGAAGGAAGUAAAGCCAGAAAGCAGCAGGGAAGGCGAAGCAGGUGGAAGGCUGCCUCCUGAUGCUGUGCUGAGACCCCCUCACUGACCUGCCAAGAGACCCGGUUUGCUUCUCUGGUGAGCCCCAGCAAAUAUUACCGGAGUCUGUGACGAAGCCUCGACCUUGUCCACGUGUCGGUGCGGUCCGGGUACCCUUUAGGUGUACCCUGCGACGAUGACAUCCACCCCGGAGCGUGGCCAAAGCGUGUGGCCAGAGGACCUGGGAGUUCCUAAGAGAUGGUGAUGAUACUUGUCUGAGACAACAGCCAGGUGAGAGAAGAACUUCCCAGACAGCGAGGUGGCUUUGUUUGGCUCCUGACCGGCCUCUCUCUGUGACUCACAUCUUCAGCCAUCUGAGAGAUAAGUGGAGCCCGCAGAGGGGAUCAAAGCAGGGCGGUGGGUCAGGACUGAGAUCGGUUUGGGUUUUUGAGUGAGCUUUGGGGAUGGGGAGGUUCUGGAAAUGACCCCAUAGGCCCCAGUGAAGGAAAGCCUCACUUUGGUUUGCAAUGCUGAGGCGAACAGGGCAGAGCAGUCCCAGGGUGUGUUGUCACUUGUCUCUCGUGCCUUCUGUGUCUUAUGUGCAUCUUGUGUAACAUCUCUAUUGCCUUAGCCCUCCCAGGGGCUUAUGAGAAACCCCGGGGUCAUUCCAUUCAUCUCCCAUCUUUGCGUUCUUCGGCCUGGCGCUGGCGAAGCUUUGAUUCGGGAGGUCGGACAGGCAUCAGAAUUGCAUCUGUCUUUAGAAGCACGUGAUCGGAUGUUUUCUUAGGUCUCGUUCUCAGCUGUGUCGACAGCUAUAUGCAGCAGUGUUUCUUUACAGUGGAUAAGGACUUGUGCCGAUUCAAAGGCAGGCAGAGGCUUCCAGCCACAGGAUUCUCGGGCAUCCGUCUCUGUGGUUCUUGGAAAAUACUUGUUCCUUUAGCAUCUUUUUCCUCUAGGGUCAUCGGAGCCCAGCAGGCUCUCCUUGGGUCCCUCCUUGGUCAUCUCGUUCAGCAUUCUCUUGGUCCUUGUGAGGACUUUCUUGUCUCAGAGAGUUUUAUCUCCCUGUCACGUCCGCUCGUCUCACGUGUCACGGGUGUCUGGGGGUAUUUGGUCUGGAGCUGCUCUGCCCUGGUGCCCAGCCCGGUUGUAGGUGUUUAAGGAUAAGUCCUGGGCACUUGUAAUCAGAGACUUGUAGUACAGGCUGUAGUUGGAGUCUAGGUGGUAUUCUUAUGUUGGCAGCAGGUGGUUGGAGCUGUGCAGUUACCCUGCAGCACUUUGACUUUUUUCCUAACUUUCUUUCAGAUGCAGAUGGAUUGACCUCCUGGCAGAACGCCUGUCCCAGAUGAGGGGGUUCCCCUGAGAAGGAAGUAAAGCUGGAAAGUAGCGGAGAAGGCAAAGCAGAUAGAAGGUGAGCCUCGGUUGGUGGAGAGAAGCAGUUGUUCUUGCUGGGGUCGC